CGGGAAGGGCGACGGUCGGGCCCCGCCGCCAUUUGCUCGGGGCUGGGGCAGCGUCGUCGCCCGGAGUGCAGUCCUGGCUGCAUUUUCGGCUGGAAAAGCUUAGUGGCUGUUGGUAGCAAACCUAACAAAGUCAACAACAAUAAUAACUUUUUUUUUUUUUUUUUUUUUUUUUGGCUCUGGAGCUUUGCUGUCUUAGCCGGCUUUGCUCUUCUUGUAGGGAAACAAGUGUUAGUGCUUUCUGAGCUGCGUCUUGGGGUUGAACGCACAGGUGCCAUGCCAGCUGUGUGCUGUAUAGACUUUCCUAUGCCUUCGUGCUGUCACAGAGACCUCAGGUAGAAACUGGUCCAAGAGAUGCGAGUUCUGCCACUGCAGUGUAGCCUGGAUCCCACUGUCCCUGACUGGACUACAAGGGCAAACUACAAGGGCAUGUGCUGAAAGUGAAUUAGCAGUAAGAAAGGUGCAUUUCAGAGCAGAUCAAAUUAUCAGGAAGGAGGGAACUUCAAUGAGUCACAUUUUAAUUAGGUUUAAUUUCUACAGUCUCCUCUGUGUUAUAUAAUACUGUCUUGAAAAUAGCUGCUUUAGAAGGAGUCUAGAUUUUUACUUAUCUGCACUAUUCUGUGUACUUGAAUUAUAAACAUAAGAGGACACAACGUGAGAAAAAAAACAAACAAACCUCAGAACACAAUGGCUGGACUUACCACUACAGCUACUUCAGCAAAGCAAAAUGAAUGGAUUAUAUGUACAGCUGUAUGAAUAAACAAAUAAAUAAAUAACAUGGUAAUCUGCAUUUAUUUUUGGUCUUUUAGUUUACUCCCUUCUUGACUGUUUAAAUACUUCAAUGUUAGCCAAAAUAGCUGUUGUAAUUACAUUAUAAUGUAAUUAAUAAGGUUGAUUAAACAUAAGAUUUUUAUAAGAUUGUUUUGGACUUUGGAACAGCACUGUUUAUUUUAAAUUACAGUAUUGACCGUGAAGUGUAGAGGAUGCCCACCUUUUUCUAGGCCUAAAAGUUUCCUGAGGAAAGAUGAAAGAAUUUAGGGUACAAUGCGUUAUCAGUCCUUACCUUUUCUGAAAGCAUGAGAAAUGCUUCAUUACUGUGGUGGAGAUAGUAGUCUUAGAUUUCAACAAGUGUAUGCAGUUGGAGGAUGCUCUUGUUAGCUCACUCAGGUGAACCUGCCUUACAAUACUGUGCCCUACAUCUACAUUUUUAGCAAGGAUUUUAGGAGCAGCUGCCAUACUAAGAGUUCUUUUUACCUGAAACGUAGCAGAGGCAUACAUUAAUACCAAAGUCCCUUGGUGGUAAUAAGAGCAUUAACAAAUUGGCUCAA